rnacentral:rRNA from 1 species
UACAGAGGUGGCAAGCGUUGUUCGGAAUUACUGGGCGUAAAGGGCGCGUAGGCGGUUGGAUAAGUCAGCUGUGAAAACCACGGGCUUAACUCGUGGCCUGCAGUUGAGACUGUCUGGCUUGAGUGUGGGAGAGGAGGGUGGAAUUCCUGGUGUAGCGGUGAAAUGCGUAGAUAUCAGGAGGAACACCGGUGGCGAAGGCGGAUCUCUGGGCCGAUACUGACGCUGAGGAGCGAAAGCGUGGGGAGCGAACAGG